rnacentral:rRNA from 1 species
UACGGAGGGUCCAAGCGUUAUCCGGAAUCAUUGGGUUUAAAGGGUCCGUAGGCGGUUUAGUAAGUCAGUGGUGAAAGCCCAUCGCUCAACGGUGGAACGGCCAUUGAUACUGCUAGACUUGAAUUAUUAGGAAGUAACUAGAAUAUGUAGUGUAGCGGCGAAAUGCUUAGAUAUUACAUGGAAUACCAAUUGCGAAGGCAGGUUACUACUAAUGGAUUGACGCUGAUGGACGAAAGCGUGGGUAGCGAACAGG